rnacentral:tRNA from 11 species
CGCGGGGUGGAGCAGCUCGGUAGCUCGCUGGGCUCAUAACCCAGAGGUCCUAGGUUCAAAUCCUAGCCCCGCUACCA